rnacentral:sRNA from 1 species
CGAGGAGAAGCCCGCAGCCAUAAGGCUGCGGGCCUCUCCUCGUUGUUGAGUUCUUAAGACAGUUCUUAAGACGCCCC